rnacentral:rRNA from 1 species
AGGAUGAACGCUGGCGGCGUGCCUAACACAUGCAAGUCGAACGUCCUGUCUCGCAAGAGGCAGGGAGUGGCGGACGGGUGAGUACCACGUGGGUCAUCUACCGUGAGGUGAGGAAUACCGGCGAGAAAUCGCCGACAAGACCGCAUAGGCUCGAUGCAAGUCGAGCAAAGCUCUUUCGAGAGAGGGAGCGCCACACGAGGAGCCUGCGCCCGAUUAGCUAGCUGGUGGAGUAACGGUUCACCAGGGCGACGAUCGGUAGCUGGUCUGAGAGGACGAUCAGCCACACUGGGAUUGAGAACGGCCCAGACUCCUACGGGGGGCAGCAGUGAGGUAAUUUCGUCAAUGGGGGCAACCCUGAACGAGCAACGCCGCGUGCAGGAAGAAGGUUUCGGAUCGUAAACUGCUUCUCUCGGGAAGAGAACGGACGGUACCCGAGGAAUCACGCCCCGGCUAACUACGCGCCAGCAGCCGCGGU